rnacentral:tRNA from 1 species
GGCUUUAUAGUCAAUGAUGAUAUUAGACUGCAAUUCUAAAGGAGUAAAAAUUUUUACUAAGGCUU